CAGACGCACCGUUGCUACUAGAUACAGCAGCAGCUUCAGAAGCUAACGAUGCUAACGGAGGAUCGUCGUGUCGUGUUCUGACGUCUGAACGGUUCAACAGUGACGUCACAGGCGCCUGGAACUUAAGCAGAUCUUCAACCAACAGACGCGACAGGAGGGUUCGACAUGAACUCGCCUGACCUGCGCCCGGAGGCAUUGUGGGAAAUGGUCAGUGGAGACGUCAUGUGACCUUUGACCCUUCAUGAGAGCUGAUCACAAAUGUUUCGCACGUCAGGAAAUAAAGAGCUAAUUGGCUUUAACACGUGUGGGAGGAGCUUCAUCAGGAUUUUAGACUUAAUGAAAAACUUUGAUGAUUCUGAAUAAACAAGAAAAAACGUAUAUAUAUAUUCAUGUGUAUAUGUUGGUGUACAUGUGUAUGUAAAUAUACAUGUGUAUGUUUGUGUACAUGUGUAUAUAUAUACACGUGUGUGUGUAUGAAUGAGAGUCCAGUCGAGUCAGUUUAUGUUUUUAUUUAUGAAAAACAAAUGAACUCAGAAAAUAAGAUCAUAUCAGUAAAUUACAUCAAAUGA